rnacentral:rRNA from 1 species
GACGAACGCUGGCGGCGUGCCUAAUACAUGCAAGUCGAACGAGAGCGACCGGUGCUUGCACUGGUCAAUCUAGUGGCGAACGGGUGAGUAACACGUGGGUAACCUGCCCAUCAGAGGGGGAUAACAUCCGGAAACGGAUGCUAAAACCGCAUAGGUCUUCGAACCGCAUGGUUUGAAGAGGAAAAGAGGCGCAAGCUUCUGCUGAUGGAUGGACCCGCGGUGCAUUAGCUAGUUGGUGAGGUAACGGCUCACCAAGGCCGUGAUGCAUAGCCGACCUGAGAGGGUGAUCGGCCACAUUGGGACUGAGACACGGCCCAAACUCCUACGGGAGGCAGCAGUAGGGAAUCUUCCGCAAUGGACGCAAGUCUGACGGAGCAACGCCGCGUGAGUGAAGAAGGUCUUCGGAUCGUAAAACUCUGUUGUUAGAGAAGAACAAGUGCUAGAGUAACUGUUAGCGCCUUGACGGUAUCUAACCAGAAAGCCACGGCUAACUACGUG